GUGAGACAGGUGCUGCAUGGCUGUCGUCAGCUCGUGUUGUGAAAUGUUGGGUUAAGUCCCGCAACGAGCGCAACCCUUAUCCUUUGUUGCCAGCGGUCCGGCCGGGAACUCAAAGGAGACUGCCAGUGAUAAACUGGAGGAAGGUGGGGAUGACGUCAAGUCAUCAUGGCCCUUACGACCAGGGCUACACACGUGCUACAAUGGCGCAUACAAAGAGAAGCGACCUCGCGAGAGCAAGCGGACCUCAUAAAGUGCGUCGUAGUCCGGAUUGGAGUCUGCAACUCGACUCCAUGAAGUCGGAAUCGCUAGUAAUCGUGGAUCAGAAUGCCACGGUGAAUACGUUCCCGGGCCUUGUACACACCGCCCGUCACACCAUGGGAGUGGGUUGCAAAAGAAGUAGGUAGCUUAACCUUCGGGAGGGCGCUUACCACUUUGUGAUUCAUGACUGGGGUGAAGUCGUAACAAGGUAACCGUAGGGGAACCUGCGGUUGGAUCACCUCCUUAC
rnacentral:rRNA from 1 species